CCUACGGGAGUCAGCAGUGGGGAAUAUUGCACAAUGGGGGAAACCCUGAUGCAGCGACGCCGCGUGAGUGAAGAAGUAUUUCGGUACGUAACGCUCUAUCAGCAGGGAAGAAAAUGACGGUACCUGACUAAGAAGCCCCGUCUAACGACGUGCCAGCAGCCGCGGUAAUACGUAGGGGGCACGCGUUAUCCGGAUUUACUGGGUGUAAAGGGAGCGUAGACGGCAGCGCAAGUCUGGAGUGAAAUCCCAUGGCUUAACCAUGGAACUGCUUUGGAAACUGUGCAGCUAGAGUGCAGGAGAGGUAAGCGGAAUGCCUAGUGUAGCGGUGAAAUGCGUAGAUAGUAGGAGGAACACCAGUGGCGAAGGCGGCUUACUGGACUGUAACUGACGUUGAGGCUCGAAAGCGUGGGGAGCAAACAGGAUUAGAUACCCUAGUAGUC
rnacentral:rRNA from 1 species